UACGAUCGCAAGAUUAAUACUCAAAGGAAUUGACGGGGCCCCGCACAAGCAGCUGGAGCAUGCGGCUUAACUCGACGCAACGCGAAGAACCUUACCAAGGCUUGACAUAUAGGGAAAAGUGGCAGAGAUGUCAUGUCCGCAAGGGCUCUAUACAGGUGGUGCAUGGUUGUCGUCAGCUCGUGUCGUGAGAUGUUGGGUUAAGUCCCGCAACGAGCGCAACCCUCGUUCUGUGUUGCCAGCAUUUAGUUGGGGACUCACAGGAGACUGUCCGGGGUUAACAUCGGAGGAACGGUGGGGAUGACGUCAAAUCAUCAUGCCCCUUAUGUCUUGGGCUGCACGCAUGCUACAAUGGCCGGUACAGAGGGCUGCAAUACCGUAAGGUGGAGCGAAUCCCAAAAAGCCGGUCUCAGUUCGGAUUGAGGUCUGCAACUCGACCUCAUGAAGUUGGAGUUGCUAGUAAUCGUAGAUCAGCAACGCUACGGGAAUACGUUCCCGGGCUUGUACACACCGCCCGUCAAG
rnacentral:rRNA from 1 species